UUACGGUCAUAUCACGUUGAAACAUUGCUUCUCGUACGAUCACCAAAGUUAAGCAACGUCGAUCCUGGUGAGAACCUAGAUGGGUGACUGUUUGGAAAUACCAGGUGCUGUAAG